rnacentral:misc_RNA from 1 species
GAAAUGCGAUAAGUAGUGUGAAUUGCAGAAUUCAGUGAAUCAUCGAAUCUUUGAACGCACAUUGCGCCCCUUGGUAUUCCAUGGGGCAUGCCUGUUCGAGCGUCAUUUGUACCCUCAAGCUCUGCUUGGUGUUGGGUGUUUGUCCCCGUCUCCGCGUGUGGACUCGCCCCAAAGUGAUUGGCAGCCGGCGUACUGGUCCCGGAGCGCAGCACAUGUCGCGCAAACGAGUGCCUUGGUACGGCGGCGUCCAUAAGCCCCUCUCUCACGCUCUUGACCUCGGAUCAGGUAGGGAUACCCGCUGAACUUAAGC